AUGUUUUGUUUUGCUGCUGAGGAGUACGCUGACAAGGGGAGAGUCUUUUGUGGUCGCAGGCACCGCCAGGAGAGCGCGUUUGGUUCUCGGAGCCCUGGCGGUGUCAAAUCCAGCGCUUAUUCCCGAGCUCCCGCGGACCCCCCGCCCGGGCCCGGGCUGGCAGCGGGGCCGCCCCGGGGGCGGGACCGGGACGUACCGGCGCCCUUCCGCUUCCGGGCCACCAGGGACCGGAAGGGCCCGACCUCUUCCGGCGGCGGCGAGCGGGUGAGGCCGGGGCCCGGAGGCGGCCGCCCCCAGCGGGGGACUCCGGGGCCGGGGCUGCCCGCGGCUGGGGGGCGGCGGCCGGUACCUUCCCCCGGGUUCGCUGGGGCCGGUGGAGCGGCGGGGCGCAAGGCCGCUCUGUCCCCAGCGCUCGCCGGCCGCUGCCGUGACGGGCUCCCGCGGGGGGGCGGUUUGGACGCCGAGCGGGCGGCGGCAGCAUCGGUGCUUUGUGCUCCCGAGCCCUCCGUAGUGUCGGAGAGCAGUGGGUGGUGAGCCAUGGCCUAUCAGCUGUACAGGAACACCACGCUGGGGAACAGUCUUCAGGAGAGUCUGGAUGAGCUCAUACAGUCACAGCAAAUCACACCUCAGCUGGCCUUACAGGUGCUACUACAGUUUGACAAAGCUAUAAAUUCAGCACUGGCACAACGAGUCAGGAACAGAGUCAAUUUCAGGGGGUCUCUGAAUACAUACAGGUUCUGUGACAACGUAUGGACAUUUGUAUUGAAUGAUGUUGAAUUUAGGGAGGUCACCGAACUUGUGAAAGUGGACAAAGUGAAAAUUGUAGCAUGUGAUGGAAAAAACACUGGUUCCAAUACUGCAGAAUGAAUAGAACUGUGGUUUCUCUGCAAUUUUUUCUGUUGACAUGCAGCACUUUCUGGAGAAAAGCAUGGAAAGGACUGUGUUCAUACUUAAUUCUUGUGAUGCCGAUGUGAGUUAAUCCAUACUAGAAAGCGUCACAGAAUGACAGCGGAAGAAAUACCUGUAGCAUUUCUUCAGUUCACCAUAUAGGGCAUAAAUACAAUGUUACUUUUUUUUUUUUUUUUAACUACAACAGAUACUGUUGCCUUUUUUGUUUAAAAUAAUUUCUGUAAUAAACUUUUAUUUAAAAACUUGUGAAUGAAUGAU
rnacentral:lncRNA from 1 species